CCUACGGGAGGCAGCAGUGAGGAAUAUUGGUCAAUGGCCGGAAGGCUGAACCAGCCAUGCCGCGUGAAGGUCAGUGCCCUAUGGGCGUUAAACUUCUUUUGUGCGGGAGCAAUAAUGGUCACGUGUGGCCAGACGAGAGUACCGUACGAAUAAGCAUCGGCUAACUCCGUGCCAGCAGCCGCGGUAAUACGGGGGAUGCAAGCGUUAUCCGGAUUUAUUGGGUGUAAGGGGUGCGUAGGCUGUGAGGUAAGUCAGCGGUGAAAUGCCACCGCUCAACGGGGUGAAGUGCCAUUGAUACUGCCUGGCUGGAAUGCGGAUGCCGUGGGAGGAAUGUGUGGUGUAGCGGUGAAAUGCAUAGAUAUCACACAGAACACCGAUUGCGAAGGCAUCUCACGAAUCCGCGAUUGACGCUGAUGCACGAAAGCGUGGGUAUCAAACAGGAUUAGAUACCCGUGUAGUC
rnacentral:rRNA from 1 species